rnacentral:tRNA from 1 species
AGUGGUAAAACUAGCCUUCCAA